UACGUAGGGCGCAAGCGUUGUCCGGAAUCAUUGGGCGUAAAGAGCUCGUAGGCGGCCUGUUGCGUCCGCUGUGAAAGCCCGGGGCUUAACCCCGGGUCUGCAUUCGAUACGGGCUAGCUAGAGUGUGGUAGGGGAGAUCGGAAUUCCUGGUGUAGCGGUGAAAUGCGCAGAUAUCAGGAGGAACACCGGUGGCGAAGGCGGAUCUCUGGGCCAUUACUGACGCUGAGGAGCGAAAGCGUGGGGAGCGAACAGG
rnacentral:rRNA from 1 species